rnacentral:lncRNA from 1 species
GAAUCAGAAGCAGGCACUGGAGUACGCUCCUCUGUCUUUCCCGCACAGCAGCCCCAGGAGCAUAUGGCCUGUAAUUAGCCGCCAAGGAGAUGAUUAUUGUGUCACAAAUGGAGAAUUAUGACUUCAGGUGAGAAUAAGCAGCAGGAAACAGGGAGCUCCAAAGGCUCAGAAAAUUCUGUUUUCAUGCAAAUACCCUCAAUAAUAAUAAACAAAGCCAGACAAAGAGAGACACCCGAGAUAAUCUAUGAGGGGGCCAGUUCCUAAAUCAAAUGCGCCAGUGCGUGUUUGUUUGUUUUCCACAGGGAUUUCCGUGAGGCCCAGCAGGUUUUUAAUAACAUUCAUCCACAAGUAACACUUAACAAAUCUGAUUUACCUCAGAGUUCCAUUGGGGAGAGAGGCCCAGAGAAGGACAAAAGAAAAACAUUUGAACAGUGUGCCCCCACGAUGGUUACUUCACAGAGACACCUUGCUAGAUGUUCAGUGGAGCUGAGUGCCUGGAAAUGGUCACCCUCAUCCAGUGAUUUGCAAGGUCACUUAAAAGCUCUGUUAUCUUUCUUCCUGAUGGAACUGUUUGAAAGUUCAUCCAGAAGCCCAAGAACAAAAGAAAAAAGGAUUCCUCCAGUAAAAUAGUACCAGUGCCACCAAAGACAUCUGGGUAUCUUUCACAAGGCUCUUGCAGCAAAAGCUAAAAAUAUUCUUUAGAAAAUUCCAGAAUGGUCAGAAAGCUCCCAAGGGAGAGGGGAAUAACCAAUGAAGUUUCUGAUUGUUGACAUCCUUCUGGGCUCAGACAAAUAAGAUCCAAGACAUCUACAUUUCCUGGCACAUUGUCCUGAGACUCUACAAGGCUCUUGAAGACCUGACUCUGUGAACUUAGAAGAUCCAGGGAAGUUUAACUCCAGGAUGUGGAGCUCAGAAGGAAACCAAGCAGAGCUGACCAUCCUACCAAAAAGUAGAGCAGGUAGCAGAGUCUAGCCCUGAAGCAAAAUCCAAUUCAGGAAGGAAGCUGGAGAGAUGCUAAUAUCAAAAAUCAUUGCAAAUUUAACCCCAUAACAACUAUGAGCAGAGAUUCAAAGGGGGAAAAAUGCAUUUCUAUCUAGACUACAUGAAGCAGAUCAGGGAGUGACCUGGAGGUAAAGUGAGCAGCAUCACUGAGGAACCUGGAAAUGAGGAGAUUGAAGGCUAACACUUGCCAGUCAGUAAGAUGAAAGACCUCAGGGUUGUUUUCCUCAUAAGAGCAAUGCUGUAUGUAUGAAGGUGGAGAAGACUUGAGAGUAAAAUGGAGAUGAAACAACCCAGGAAGGCUGCUAUAUUUACAAGCUCACUUUCCUGAUACCUCCCUCAAACCAAAUAUUCAAUUAUUAAUUAAUUAAUAAAAGGGGGAGGAAGAAGAGGCA